CAUGCAGUCGCGCGACAAGCCACUUUUAGCUUGCUAUUAGUGGUGGAGGAGCGGCGUAAGGGAGAGUAACGGGUGGAUUAUCUACCCCUAGGCCCGGGAUAGCUGUGGGAAACUGCAAGUAAUACCGGAUAACAUCUGCGGAUCAAAGGUGUGAUUCCGCCUAGGGAUGAGUCCGCCUCCUAUUAGCUUGUUGGUGGGGUAAUGGCCUACCAAGGCUACGAUGGGUACCGGGUGUGAGAGCAUGGCCCGGCUCACUGGGACUGAGACACUGCCCAGACACCUACGGGUGGCUGCAGUCGAGAAUCUUCGGCAAUGGGCGAAAGCCUGACCGAGCGAUGCCGCGUGCGGGAUGAAGGCCUUCGGGUUGUAAACCGCUGUCAGUAGGGAGGAAAUGCAUGGGGGUCAUCCCCCGUGUUUGACCUAUCUUCAGAGGAAGGACGGGCUAAGUUCGUGCCAGCAGCCGCGGUAAGACGAACCGUCCAAACGUUAUUCGGAAUUACUGGGCUUAAAGGGUGCGUAGGCGGCGCGGUCAGUCGGAUGUGAAAUCGUACAGCUCAACUGUACAACUGCGUCCGAAACUGCCGCGCUCGAGGAAGGCAGAGGUGAGCGGAACUCAGG
rnacentral:rRNA from 1 species